UACAGAGGGUGCAAGCGUUGUUCGGAAUUACUGGGCGUAAAGCGCACGUAGGUGGUUUGUUAAGCCAGCUGUGAAAUCCCCGGGCUCAACCUGGGCACUGCAGUUGGAACUGGCAAGCUAGAGUAGGGUAGAGGGGUGUGGAAUUCCAGGUGUAGCGGUGAAAUGCGUAGAUAUCGAGAGGAACACCAGUGGCGAAGGCGAGUCCCUGGACAACACCUGACACUGAGGCACGAAAGCUAGGGGAGCAAACAGG
rnacentral:rRNA from 1 species